rnacentral:rRNA from 1 species
UGGGGAAUAUUGCGCAAUGGGCGAAAGCCUGACGCAGCAACGCCGCGUGAGUGAUGAAGGCCUUCGGGUCGUAAAGCUCUGUCGGAGGGAACGAAAGACUCGCGAGUGAAUACUUCGCGAGAGUGACGGUACCGUUAAAGGAAGCCACGGCUAACUCUGUGCCAGCAGCCGCGGUAAUACAGAGGUGGCAAGCGUUGUUCGGAAUUACUGGGCGUAAAGGGCGCGUAGGCGGCCCUCUAAGUCAGACGUGAAAUCCCCCGGCUUAACCUGGGAACUGCGUCUGAUACUGGAGGGCUUGAGUAUGGGAGAGGGAUGUAGAAUUCCAGGUGUAGCGGUGAAAUGCGUAGAUAUCUGGAGGAAUACCGGUGGCGAAGGCGGCAUCCUGGACCAUUACUGACGCUGAGGCGCGAAAGCUAGGGGAGCAAACAGGAUUAGAUACCCAAGUAGUCCCUGAGCGGGCUGGCAAGGCGCAU